ensembl:snRNA U1 U1 spliceosomal RNA
AUACUUACCUGGCGUGAUCAUGAAGGCGCUUCACCCAGGGCGAGGCUCAACCAUUGCACUCCGGCUGUGCUGCCCACUGCUCACUAGGGGUGAGGGUUAAAUACAGAGGACACAUUUCGAUGUGUCACCGU